GGAGUCUGGACCGUGUCUCAGUUCCAAUGUGGCCGAUCACCCUCUCAGGUCGGCUACCCAUCGCUGACUUGGUGGGCCGUUACCUCACCAACUAUCUAAUGGGACGCGAGCUCACCCCGAACCGAUAAAUCUUUUACCUCAAAAGGAUGCCCUCUCGUGGUCUUAUGCGGUAUUAGCACUGUUUUCACAGUGUUAUCCCCCUGUCCGGGACAGAUUGCUCACGCGUUACUCACCCGUCCGCCGCUAGAAUAAUUCGCUUCCGGCCGAAGCUUUCCACAAAUUAUCCCCGCUCGACUUGCAUGUGUUAAGCACGCCGCCAGCGUUCGUCCUCGUAGCCACUGAUCAAACUACU
rnacentral:rRNA from 1 species